rnacentral:snRNA from 1 species
AGUGAUGUUGAAAAAAAAAGAUCAAGUGUAGCAUCUGUUCUUAUUGGUUUAAUAUCAGAUAUGUUCUCUAUCUGCAGACAAUAUAUUAAAUGGAUUUUUGGAGCAGCAGGGUGGAAUAAGAGUUUGUGCCCUAUACUCCAUGCAUUUACCUGGUAUCACAGUUCAGGAAUGGAGCACCCCCU